rnacentral:lncRNA from 1 species
CCCUUUUCCCAGCAGCGCGUCCCGAAACUUUAACGUGCGCGCUUAAAGCUGUGCCCCGUUCCCUAUUCACCACAUUAGAGGUUGGUUUGAGUGAACUAUUUAGUGCACUAGUUAGGGAUCUGGGAGGGACUUCGGACACCGUCUGUCUUUAUUCGGCCUCAGAGACACCGGAAGCGCCGCAAGAGGGACCCUCAUAUGAACCUGGUCCUGGUCGGGGUUUCCUCCGGAUUUUCCUGUUGGGGAGAUUGAGUCAUAAUCUUCGGUCCACAAACGGCAACUUUACCAUCUGAACAACUCAAAUAAACAACAAUCUGCGAGUAACACCUGAACGUUGCUGACGGAACCCAAACGGUGUCCGUUUGUCAUCUGAUGCCACCUGCAGGUGAAUCUGUGUCACUGCAGGCGCGACUUUACGACCCACCGGUCUGUAAAUAUAUAAAAUCU